GAACACCAACCUAAUCUUGAAAGCUGAAGUGGGUUUGGGGAAUGGAAGAACAAGAACAUCUUCUUUACCACCAAAAAUGGUAACAUAAGACCCUUCUUCACUCAUGCUUGUCAUCUGCUCGUGAAUACCGUCCAGUCAAGUCUUUGUUCUUUUAUUCUUAAAUGUGGCUGCUAACCAGAUUCCCCAUGUUAUAUGCGAGGUCAAUAAAAU
rnacentral:lncRNA from 1 species